GUGACAUUUCUGCCUUUGGGGGAGGCAUCAACGGGGUCACCAACUGACCCCCUUUCUCCAUCUUCCUCCCCAGGUAACAAGCCAGGAUAAGGCCCCCACUGUGGUAGCAAAUGUGCUGGAGAAACACAACCAGGACAAGAAUCUGGCACAUGACUACGAGCUGGUGCAGCUGUUGCCGGAUGGCCGAGAGCUGGUCUUCCCCCCCAUGGAAAACAUCUUCUAUGCCAGGAAUGGCUUCAGCCUGGACUUCCUGCUCCGGCCCAAGGGCCCACCGAGGAAGACCCCCCCUCCC